rnacentral:rRNA from 1 species
AGAGUUGAUCAUGGCUCAGGACGAACGCUGGCGGCGUGCUUAACACAUGCAAGUCGAGCGAUGAAGCUCCUUCGGGAGUGGAUUAGCGGCGGACGGGUGAGUAACACGUGGGCAACCUGCCUUGUAGAGAGGAAUAGCCAUUCGAAAGGAUGAUUAAUACCUCAUAAUAUUGUAGCUUCGCAUGAAGCAACAACCAAAGGAGCAAUCCACUACAAGAUGGGCCCGCGGCGCAUUAGCUAGUUGGUGGGGUAACGGCUCACCAAGGCGACGAUGCGUAGCCGACCUGAGAGGGUGAUCGGCCACAUUGGGACUGAGACACGGCCCAGACUCCUACGGGAGGCAGCAGUGGGGAAUAUUGCACAAUGGGGGAAACCCUGAUGCAGCCAACGCCGCGUGAGUGAUGACGGUCUUCGGAUUGUAAAGCUCUGUCUUCAGGGACGAUAAUGACGGUACCUGAGGAGGAAGCCACGGCUAACUACGUGCCAGCAGCUGC